rnacentral:tRNA from 1 species
GCCCUGGUAGCUCAGCGGAUAGAGCAACCGCCUCCUAAGCGGUAGGUCGCAGGUUCAAUUCCUGCCCAGGGCGCCA